GACGAACGCUGGCGGCGUGCUUAACACAUGCAAGUCGAACGGUGAAGCAGAGCUUGCUCUGUGGAUCAGUGGCGAACGGGCGAGUAACACGUGAGUAACCUGCCCUUGACUCUGGGAUAAGCGUUGGAAACGACGUCUAAUACCGGAUACGAGCUGAGACCGCAUGGUCAUCAGUUGGAAAGAUUUUUUGGUCAAGGAUGGACUCGCGGCCUAUCAGCUUGUUGGUGAGGUAAUGGCUCACCAAGGCGACGACGGGUAGCCGGCCUGAGAGGGUGACCGGCCACACUGGGACUGAGACACGGCCCAGACUCCUACGGGAGGCAGCAGUGGGGAAUAUUGCACAAUGGGCGCAAGCCUGAUGCAGCAACGCCGCGUGAGGGAUGACGGCCUUCGGGUUGUAAACCUCUUUUAGUAGGGAAGAAGCGAAAGUGACGGUACCUGCAGAAAAAGCACCGGCUAACUACGUG
rnacentral:rRNA from 1 species